rnacentral:rRNA from 1 species
GAUGAACGCCGGCGGUGUGCCUAAUACAUGCAAGUCGUACGCACUGGCCCAACUGAUUAAUGGUGCUUGCACCUGAUUGACGAUGGAUCACCAGUGAGUGGCGGACGGGUGAGUAACGCGUGGGUAACCUGCCUCAUACAGGGGGGAUAACAGUUAGAAAUGACUGCUAAUACCGCAUAAGACCACGGAGUUGCAUGACUCAGUGGGAAAAACUCCGGUGGUAUGAGAUGGACCCGCGUCUGAUUAGGUAGUUGGUGGGGUAACGG